AAUAGAGCUCUUCUGACAUAGACUCAAUUUCCGCCGCGGCUUUAUCUUUGCAGAUCAAGAAUACACGAGAGGAAAAAAAAUACUAGUACUACUACUACGCGGUGACAAAAAAAGCUUAAAUAAACUCUCAAAAGUCUUACUCCUCUUGCCACUAAAAGACUACUGAUCUGUAUUCUUUAAUUCUCCGUGCUCAUUGGAGGAUUUUUUCGCUGAUUCUUUAGUACUCUUAUCAUUCCCAACAUAUUAUUGUUGAUGUUUUCUGCUUCUUGACAGAUUUUUUUUUGAGUUGUUGAAGUCGAUAAUCGUGGGAUUAUUAUUGCUAGUGUUGGAUGCAAUUAAUCCCAGAGCAUGAAGUUGGGAUGUUUGUCUCAGAUAUGGUGAUGUACUGAUUUUAUAUGUUUGUUCAUUUGGGUUCUUUCAAGAGGAGUGAACAAUUCUAAAGUUUCAAUCUUUGCUAUUGGUAAUAGUUAGCUGUUUUAGUUCGUUUAGCCGGAAUCUCGGAUAUAUAUUAAGAAAGGGUGAAAAUGGGAGAUGGGUAUUACUCGGUGGGAGAAUUCAGUUUGGACCCAAAAUGGUUGAUUGAUCCGAAGCUUCUUUUUGUUGGUCCGAAGAUUGGAGAAGGUGCUCAUGCCAAAGUCUACGAGGCAAAAUAUAAAAACCAGAAUGUUGCUAUCAAAGUUCACAAAGGGGAGACACCAGAGGAGAUUGCCAAGAGGGACGCCCGAUUUGCGAGAGAGGUUGCCAUGUUAUCUAGAGUCCAACAUAAGAACUUAGUGAAGUUUAUUGGAGCUUGCAAAGAGCCUGUCAUGGUGAUUGUAACUGAACUUCUUCUUGGUGGGACACUAAGGAAAUACUUGCUUGAUUUGCGCCCAAGAUGCUUGGAUACGCGCGUUGCAAUGGGGUUUGCACUUGAUAUAGCUCGUGCCAUGGAAUGUUUACACUCUCAUGGGAUCAUACAUCGCGAUUUAAAACCUGAAAACUUGCUCCUGACAGCGGAUCGUAAAACUGUUAAACUGGCUGAUUUUGGCUUGGCAAGAGAGGAGUCAUUGACAGAGAUGAUGACUGCUGAGACUGGAACUUAUCGCUGGAUGGCUCCAGAGCUUUACAGCACAGUCACAUUGAGGCAUGGAGAGAAAAAGCAUUAUAACCACAAGGUGGAUGCUUAUAGUUUUGCAAUUGUGCUUUGGGAACUUAUCCUCAACAAGUUGCCAUUCGAAGGAAUGUCAAAUCUGCAGGCAGCUUAUGCUGCAGCUUUCAAGAAUGUGAGGCCAAGUGCUGAUGAUCUUCCGGGGGAUUUGCCUUCAAUUGUGACUUCAUGUUGGGAAGAGGAUCCCAAUGCCCGGCCUAACUUCACUCAAAUAAUACAAAUGCUUCUGCAUUAUCUGUCAACAAUUUCACCACCAGAACCUGUCAUACCAGCCCGGAUUUUCACUUCUGAGAAUGCUAUCUUGCCACCAGAGUCUCCAGGCACUAGCUCCUUGAUGGCAAAAAGGGACGACGCUGGAGAAACCCCAAAGACCGCGAUGGAUGGCAAGCCAAGAGGUUUGUUCUUCUGUUUUGACCAGUGCUGCUAAUUUUGGGAGAUGGUGACGUUUUGGCUUGAAGCAGUACAAAGGCUUCAACUAUCCCAUCGACCGGAAAAGCCGAGAUAUGGAGUCGGGGUCGCUGUGAUGUGAUGUGAUGUGAUGUGAUGUGGUUGUAAAAUAAGGCAGGAGGGCAGCUUCCAAAGAGGUUUUUUAGCUACCGGGAACUUGAGCCUCGCCAUCAGCUGCUGCCUAUUGGAUUUUCUAGUGCUGCUUUCUCCAUCCUAUCAUAGUCCUAAACUAUUUUACGGCAACUUUUGUAAAUGAAUGUCGAACCUGUUCUUGUAAACAAAGUAUCCAGGAUGCUAAAAGAUUUUCAACAAAAUUGAUUGC